CCACUUCAGCUGAGUGUAGUGCCUUACUCCAGAGGGUGUCAUUCAGAUAAACUAAAGCAUGAUUGUCACCUUCUUGAGUGGAGUAAUGCACGUCAUACAUGAAGUAUGUGGUGGC
rnacentral:miRNA from 1 species